GAGAUGAGUAUUCUAAGGCGCUUGAGAGAACUCAGGAGAAGGAACUCGGCAAAUUGACACCGUAACUUCGGAAGAAGGUGUGCCCUAUUAGUGUGAAGUGAACUACGGAGCAUGAAUGGGUUGCAAAAAAUCGGUGGCUGCGACUGUUUUUUAAAACACAGCACUCUGCAAACACGAAAGUGGACGUAUAGGGUGUGACGCCUGCCCGGUGCUGGAAGAUUAAAUGAUGGGGUGCAAGCUCUUGAUUGAAGUCCCAGUAAACGGCUGCCGUAACAAUAACGGUCCUAAGGUAGCGAAAUUCCUUGUCGGGUAAGUUCCGACCUGCACGAAUGGCGUAACGAUGGCCACACUGUCUCCUCCUGAGACUCAGCGAAGUUGAAAUGUUUGUGAUUAUGCAAUCUCCCCGCGGAAAGACGGAAAUACCCCAUGAACCUUUACUGUAGCUUUGUAUUGGACUUUGAACAGAUCUGUGUAGGAUAGGUGGGAGGCUUUGAAGCAGGGUCGCUAGAUCUUGUGGAGCCAACGUUGAAAUACCACCCUGGUGUGUUUGAGGUUCUAACCUAGGUCCAUUAUCUGGAUCGGGGACAGUGCAUGGUAGGCAGUUUGACUGGGGCGGUCUCCUCCCAAAGCGUAACGGAGGAGUUCGAAGGUACGCUAGUUACGGUCGGACAUCGUGACGAUAGUGCAAUGGCAUAAGCGUGCUUAACUGCGAGACUGACAAGUCGAGCAGAUGCGAAAGCAGGACAUAGUGAUCCGGUGGUUCUGUAUGGAAGGGCCAUCGCUCAACGGAUAAAAGGUACUCUGGGGAUAACAGGCUGAUACCGCCCAAGAGUUCAUAUCGACGGCGGUGUUUGGCACCUCGAUGUCGGCUCAUCUCAUCCUGGGGCUGUAGCCGGUCCCAAGGGUAUGGCUGUUCGCCAUUUAAAGAGGUACGUGAGCUGGGUUUAAAACGUCGUGAGACAGUUUGGUCCCUAUCUUCCGUGGGCGCUGCAGAUUUGAGGAAGCCUGCUCCUAGUACGAGAGGACCGGAGUGGACACACCUCUGGUGUAUCGGUUGUCACGCCAGUGGCAUUGCCGAGUAGCUAAGUGUGGAAGAGAUAACCGCUGAAAGCAUCUAAGCGGGAAACUCGUUUCAAGAUGAGAUCUGCCGGGGCCUUGAGCCCCCUGAAGAGUCGUUCAAGACCAGGACGUUGAUAGGUCAGGUGUGGAAGCGCAGUAAUGCGUUAAGCUAACUGAUACUAAUUGCUCGUGCGGCUUGACCCU
rnacentral:rRNA from 1 species